rnacentral:rRNA from 1 species
GAUGAACGCUGGCGGCGUGCCUAAUACAUGCAAGUCGAGCGAACAGACGAGGAGCUUGCUCCUCUGACGUUAGCGGCGGACGGGUGAGUAACACGUGGAUAACCUACCUAUAAGACUGGGAUAACUUCGGGAAACCGGAGCUAAUACCGGAUAAUAUAUUGAACCGCAUGGUUCAAUAGUGAAAGACGGUUUUGCUGUCACUUAUAGAUGGAUCCGCGCCGCAUUAGCUAGUUGGUAAGGUAACGGCUUACCAAGGCAACGAUGCGUAGCCGACCUGAGAGGGUGAUCGGCCACACUAGAACUGAGACACGGUCCAGACUCCUACGGGAGGCAGCAGUAGGGAAUCUUCCGCAAUGGGCGAAAGCCUGACGGAGCAACGCCGCGGGAGUGAUGAAGGUCUUCGGAUCGUAAAACUCUGUUAUUAGGGAAGAACAAAUGUGUAAGUAACUAUGCACGUCUUGACGGUACCUAAUCAGAAAGCCACGGCUAACUACGUG